rnacentral:rRNA from 1 species
CCUACGGGAGGCUGCAGUGGGGAAUAUUGGACAAUGGGCGAAAGCCUGAUCCAGCCAUGCCGCGUGUGUGAAGAAGGCCUUCGGGUUGUAAAGCACUUUCAGUGGGGAAGAAAGCCUUGGGGCUAAUACCCUCGAGGAAGGACAUCACCCACAGAAGAAGCACCGGCUAACUCCGUGCCAGCAGCCGCGGUAAUACGGAGGGUGCGAGCGUUAAUCGGAAUUACUGGGCGUAAAGCGCGCGUAGGCGGUCUGAUAAGCCGGUUGUGAAAGCCCCGGGCUCAACCUGGGAACGGCAUCCGGAGCUGUCAGGCUAGAGUGCAGGAGAGGAAGGUAGAAUUCCCGGUGUAGCGGUGAAAUGCGUAGAGAUCGGGAGGAAUACCAGUGGCGAAGGCGGCCUUCUGGACUGACACUGACGCUGAGGUGCGAAAGCGUGGGUAGCAAACAGGAUUAGAUACCCCAGUAGUC